GAUGAACGCUAGCUACAGGCUUAACACAUGCAAGUCGAGGGGCAGCAUGGUCUUAGCUUGCUAAGGCCGAUGGCGACCGGCGCACGGGUGGGUAACACGUAUCCAACCUGCCGUCUACUCUUGGACAGCCUUCUGAAAGGAAGAUUAAUACAAGAUGGCAUCAUGAGUCCACAUGUUCACAUGAUUAAAGGUAUUCCGGUAGACGAUGGGGAUGCGUUCCAUUAGAUAGUAGGCGGGGUAACGGCCCACCUAGUCUUCGAUGGAUAGGGGUUCUGAGAGGAAGGUCCCCCACAUUGGAACUGAGACACGGUCCAAACUCCUACGGGAGGCAGCAGUGAGGAAUAUUGGUCAAUGGGCGAGAGCCUGAACCAGCCAAGUAGCGUGAAGGAUGACUGCCCUAUGGGUUGUAAACUUCUUUUAUAAAGGAAUAAAGUCGGGUAUGCAUACCCGUUUGCAUGUACUUUAUGAAUAAGGAUCGGCUAACUCCGUGCCAGCAGCCGCGGUAAUACGGAGGAUCCGAGCGUUAUCCGGAUUUAUUGGGUUUAAAGGGAGCGUAGAUGGAUGUUUAAGUCAGUUGUGAAAGUUUGCGGCUCAACCGUAAAAUUGCAGUUGAUACUGGAUAUCUUGAGUGCAGUUGAGGCAGGCGGAAUUCGUGGUGUAGCGGUGAAAUGCUUAGAUAUCACGAAGAACUCCGAUUGCGAAGGCAGCCUGCUAAGCUGCAACUGACAUUGAGGCUCGAAAGUGUGGGUAUCAAACAGGAUUAGAUACCCUGGUAGUCCACACGGUAAACGAUGAAUACUCGCUGUUUGCGAUAUACAGCAAGCGGCCAAGCGAAAGCGUUAAGUAUUCCACCUGGGGAGUACGCCGGCAACGGUGAAACUCAAAGGAAUUGACGGGGGCCCGCACAAGCGGAGGAACAUGUGGUUUAAUUCGAUGAUACGCGAGGAACCUUACCCGGGCUUAAAUUGCAGAUGAAUUACGGUGAAAGCCGUAAGCCGCAAGGCAUCUGUGAAGGUGCUGCAUGGUUGUCGUCAGCUCGUGCCGUGAGGUGUCGGCUUAAGUGCCAUAACGAGCGCAACCCUUGUUGUCAGUUACUAACAGGUCAUGCUGAGGACUCUGACAAGACUGCCAUCGUAAGAUGUGAGGAAGGUGGGGAUGACGUCAAAUCAGCACGGCCCUUACGUCCGGGGCUACACACGUGUUACAAUGGGGGGUACAGAGGGCCGCUACCACGCGAGUGGAUGCCGAUCCCCAAAACCUCUCUCAGUUCGGACUGGAGUCUGCAACCCGACUCCACGAAGCUGGAUUCGCUAGGAAUCGCGCUUCAGCCACGGCGCGGUGAAUACGUUCCCGGGCCU
rnacentral:rRNA from 1 species